rnacentral:rRNA from 1 species
GAUGAACGCUGGCGGCGUGCCUAAUACAUGCAAGUCGAGCGAACAGACGAGGAGCUUGCUCCUCUGACGUUAGCGGCGGACGGGUGAGUAACACGUGGAUAACCUACCUAUAAGACUGGGAUAACUUCGGGAAACCGGAGCUAAUACCGGAUAACAUGUUGAACCGCAUGGUUCAACAGUGAAAGACGGUCUUGCUGUCACUUAUAGAUGGAUCCGCGCCGCAUUAGCUAGUUGGUAAGGUAACGCCUUACCAAGGCAACGAUGCGUAGCCGACCUGAGAGGGUGAUCGGCCACACUGGAACUGAGACACGGUCCAGACUCCUACGGGAGGCAGCAGUAGGGAAUCUUCCGCAAUGGGCGAAAUCCUGACGGAGCAACGCCGCGUGAGUGAAGAAGGUCUUCGGAUCGUAAAACUCUGUUAUUAGGGAAGAACAAAUGUGUAAGUAACUAUGCACGUCUUGACGGUACCUAAUCAGAAAGCCACGGCUAACUACGUG